rnacentral:rRNA from 1 species
UACGUAGGGUGCAAACGUUAAUCGGAAUUACUGGGCGUAAAGCGUGCGCAGGCGGUUUUGUAAGUCUGUCGUGAAAUCCCCGGGCUUAACCUGGGAAUGGCGAUGGAGACUGCAAGGCUGGAGUUUGGCAGAGGGGGGUAGAAUUCCACGUGUAGCAGUGAAAUGCGUAGAGAUGUGGAGGAACACCGAUGGCGAAGGCAGCCCCCUGGGUCAAGACUGACGCUCAUGCACGAAAGCGUGGGGAGCAAACAGG